rnacentral:misc_RNA from 1 species
UCGCGGCUUAUCACCGGCAGUCCCCUUAGAGUGCCCAACUGAAUGAUGGCAACUAAAGGCGAGGGUUGCGCUCGUUGCGGGACUUAACCCAACAUCUCACGACACGAGCUGACGACAGCCAUGCAGCACCUGUCUCCGGUCCAGCCGAACUGAAGAGUCUCAUCUCUGAAACUCGCGACCGGGAUGUCAAGGGCUGGUAAGGUUCUGCGCGUUGCUUCGAAUUGAACCACAUGCUCCACCGCUUGUGCGGGCCCCCGUCAAUUCCUUUGAGUUUCGGUCUUGCGACCGUACUCCCCAGGCGGGGCACUUAUCGCGUUAGCUACGGCACCGAAGGGGUCGCUCCCCCCGGCACCUAGUGCCCAUCGUUUACGGCGUGGACUAC